AAUUCUCCUGCCUCAGCCUCCCAAGUGCUGGAAUUACAGGAACACAGAGCCCAAGGAAGACAUGGAGAGAAGUGCAGAUUGGCAUGGUGGUGAUGAUCCACUCUUGUUGACAUGUCUGACUACCUAAUUGGAGGUAAAUCUGCUGGUUCCAUCUAACAUUAAUCCAGUUGGAGAGAGGAUCCUGUUCCACAAACACACAGAGUGGCAAAGAAGAAACAAAGGAUUUUAGCUCAAAGUCUAUACUUGUUAUAAUGAAAGUACAUGGGGUGAGAAAAAGUCAAACAAAUUGAAACUAACUUUUCCU